rnacentral:rRNA from 1 species
CACGCGUUGGGAGCUCUCCCAUAUGGUCGACCUGCAGGCGGCCGCGAAUUCACUAGUGAUUUGUUUGAUCCUGGCUCAGGAUGAACGCUGGCGGCGUGCUUAACACAUGCAAGUCGAGCGGAAAUAUGCAAUCGGAGAGCUUCGGCAGGAAGAUUACAUAUUUUAGCGGCGGACGGGUGAGUAACGUGUGGGCAACCUGCCCUGUACUGUGGAAUAAUCACUGGAAACGGUGACUAAUACCGCAUGUCAUUGCGAGAGGGCAUCCUCUUGCAAGAAAAGGAUUUAUUCGGUACAGGAUGGGCCCGCAUCUGAUUAGCUAGUUGGUGAGAUAACAGCCCACCAAGGCAACGAUCAGUAGCCGACCUGAGAGGGUGAUCGGCCACAUUGGGACUGAGACACGGCCCAAACUCCUACGGGAGGCAGCAGUGGGGAAUAUUGCACAAUGGGCGAAAGCCUGAUGCAGCAACGCCGCGUGAAGGAAGAAGGGUUUCGGCUCGUAAACUUCUAUCAACAGGGACGAAAAAAAUGACGGUACCUGAAUAAGAAGCCCCGGCUAACUACGUGCCAGCAGCCGCGGUAAUACGUAGGGGGCAAGCGUUAUCCGGAAUUACUGGGUGUAAAGGGAGAGUAGGCGGCAUGGUAAGUUAGAUGUGAAAGCCCGAGGCUUAACCUCGGGAUUGCAUUUAAAACUAUCAAGCUAGAGUACAGGAGAGGUAAGUGGGAAUUCCUAGUGU